rnacentral:rRNA from 1 species
GACGAACGCUGGCGGCGUGCUUAACACAUGCAAGUCGAACGGUGAAGCGCUUGCCUUUUUGGUGGGUGUGGAUGAGUGGCGAACGGGUGAGUAACACGUGAGUAACCUGCCCUCUUCUUCUGGAUAACCUCAUGAAAGUGGGGCCAAUACGGGGUAUUCCGGGUCUGUCGCAUGGCGGGUUUGGGAAAGAUUGCGCCUUUGGGUGUUUUCGGUGGGGGAUGGGCUCGCGGCCUAUCAGCUUGUUGGUGGGGUGAUGGCCUACCAAGGCGGUGACGGGUAGCCGGCCUGAGAGGGUGGACGGCCACACUGGGACUGAGACACGGCCCAGACUCCUGCGGGAGGCAGCAGUGGGGAAUAUUGCACAAUGGGCGCAAGCCUGAUGCAGCGACGCCGCGUGAGGGAUGGAGGCCUUCGGGUUGUGAACCUCUUUCGCCAGUGAAGCAGGCCUGCUCCUGUGUGGGUGGGUUGACGGUAGCUGGAGAAGAAGCGCCGGCUAACUACGUG